GAUUAAUUAAUGGCUGACUGGCACGCAUAAUACAGAACCAAUCAAUUUGUAAUGGAAGGAAUAUUUGGUGACCCAAUGACACUCGUGCGUGCCUUGGUGCGUCAGAUGACGGAAACUUAAAUUUGAGAUCGUCAGCUUAAAUUUUCUGUGCAAGGUCCAUGCAUAGAAGCGCUAAGUACAAGUGAAGUCAUUUUGGAGCAGUUACGAUCAAUCUUUGUUGUCUCCUCUUAUCUUCUAUAUAGUGCCGAGUAUAUAUGUAGUCCAAUGUUUUUCCAUAAGUCAUUUUACAUAAGUUUCUCGAUGAACACAAAAUAUUUGGUGGUCUCAUAUUAACAUUUGCUAUGCGCAUAGAUUUACUCUUCUUUUCUAAGAUUGCCCGUUGUCAGAGAUUACUCGCA